UCCCAUGAGAAAGAAGGUGGUGCCCCAAGGCCGGAUAGAAUGAUGGAACAAUUCCAAGACGCUUUGGUUGAUUGUGAGCUAGAAGAUAUGGGAUUCAAGGGCGACCAGUUUACGUGGAGACGGAGUCGUAUCCGAGAACGCCUCGAUAGGGCUGUGUGCAAUGGCAGAUUUCAUAAUUUGUUCCCGGAAGCAAUUGUUACAAAUGCGCCACACAUUAAAUCUGACCAUCGUCCGGUUGUUUUGGAAACAGAGGUAAAUGGUGAUGCAAACCAGCAGCUUGUGAAGCGGAAGCAGUUUGAGGCUCGUUGGCUUAAGGAAGAGGAGAUAAUGACCCGCGUCACAGAAGCAUGGGAACGGACGCUGUCUUCGGCAUCUCUCGCUGAACGUACGACAAUGGUGCACACGGACCUUCAUGAAUGGGACCGAGCAGUUCUUAAGUCACCACAAUGCCGCUUAAAAUCGCCGAAGGUGGAGCUUGAAAAACUCUGA
rnacentral:rRNA from 1 species